GAUGGACGCUAGCGGGAGGCCUAACACAUGCAAGCCGAGCGGUAUUUCUUCUUCGGAGGAGAGAGAGCGGCGCACGGGUGCGUAACACGUGUGCAACCUACCUUUAUCUGGGGGAUAGCCUUUCGAAAGGAAGAUUAACACCCCAUAAUAUAUUGAAUGGCAUCACUUGAUAUUGAAAACUCCGGUGGAUAAAGAUGGGCACGCGCAAGAUUAGAUAGUUGGUGAGGUAACGGCUCACCAAGUCAAUGAUCUUUAGGGGUCCUGAGAGGGAGAUCCCCCACACUGGUACUGAGACACGGACCAGACUCCUACGGGAGGCUGCAGUGAGGAAUAUUGGACAAUGGGUGAAAGCCUGAUCCAGCCAUCCCGCGUGAAGGAUGACGGUCCUAUGGAUUGUAAACUUCUUUUGUACAGGAAUAAACCUACUCUCGUGAGAGUAGCUGAAGGUACUGUACGAAUAAGCACCGGCUAACUCCGUGCCAGCAGCCGCCGUAA
rnacentral:rRNA from 1 species